GACGAACGCUGGCGGCGUGCCUAACACAUGCAAGUCGAGCGAGGAGAUUCCCUUCGGGGAUGAACCUAGCGGCGGACGGGUGAGUAACACGUGGGCAACCUGCCUUAUAGAGGGGAAUAGCCUUCCGAAAGGAAGAUUAAUACCGCAUAACAUUACAUUUUCGCAUGAAGAAGUAAUUAAAGGAGUAAUCCGCUAUAAGAUGGGCCCGCGGCGCAUUAGCUAGUUGGUGAGGUAACGGCUCACCAAGGCGACGAUGCGUAGCCGACCUGAGAGGGUGAUCGGCCACAUUGGGACUGAGACACGGCCCAAACUCCUACGGGAGGCUGCAGUGGGGAAUAUUGCACAAUGGGGGAAACCCUGAUGCAGCAACGCCGCGUGAGUGAUGACGGCCUUCGGGUUGUAAAGCUCUGUCUUCAGGGACGAUAAUGACGGUACCUGAGGAGGAAGCCACGGCUAACUACGUGCCAGCAGCCGCGGUAAUACGUAGGUGGCGAGCGUUGUCCGGAUUUACUGGGCGUAAAGGGAGCGUAGGCGGACUUUUAAGUGAGAUGUGAAAUACCCGGGCUCAACUUGGGUGCUGCAUUUCAAACUGGAAGUCUAGAGUGCAGGAGAGGAUCGUGGAAUUCCAUGUGUAGCGGUGAAAUGCGUAGAUAUAUGGAAGAACACCAGUGGCGAAGGCGGCUGUCUGGUCUGUAACUGACGCUGAGGCUCGAAAGCAUGGGUAGCGAACAGGAUUAGAUACCCUGGUAGUCCACGCCGUAAACGAUGUCGAUUUGGAGGUUGUGCCCUUGAGGCGUGGCUUCCGGAGCUAACGCGUUAAAUCGACCGCCUGGGGAGUACGGCCGCAAGGUUAAAACUCAAAUGAAUUGACGGGGGCCCGCACAAGCGGUGGAGCAUGUGGUUUAAUUCGAUGCAACGCGAAGAACCUUACCUACUCUUGACAUCCAGAGAACUUUCCAGAGAUGGAUUGGUGCCUUCGGGAACUCUGAGACAGGUGCUGCAUGGCUGUCGUCAGCUCGUGUUGGGAAAUGUUGGGUUAAGUCCCGCAACGAGCGCAACCCUUAUCCUUUGUUGCCAGCGAUUCGGUCGGGAACUCAAAGGAGACUGCCGGUGAUAAACCGGAGGAAGGUGGGGAUGACGUCAAGUCAUCAUGGCCCUUACGAGUAGGGCUACACACGUGCUACAAUGGCAUAUACAAAGGGCGACAAGCUAGCGAUAGUGAGCGAAUCCCAUAAAGUAUGUCGUAGUCCGGAUUGGAGUCUGCAACUCGACUCCAUGAAGUCGGAAUCGCUAGUAAUCGCGGAUCAGAAUGCCGCGGUGAAUACGUUCCCGGGCCUUGUACACACCGCCCGUCACACCAUGGGAGUGGG
rnacentral:rRNA from 1 species